CUGUCCUUUAGGAUCCCUCUUCUUCCCUCCUCUCUGCUUGGAAAAGGCCAGGCCACAUCCUCAGAGACCCCUAUUUGCUUCCUCCUCACUCAAGCCCACCUUGUGUUUGGACAAGGACUGGAUGGGUGGACAGGAUUCCUGGAUCCCUGACUUACUCUCUUCCUCUAAUCAAGACCUGUGUGCUGGCCCCCAGGAAUGCCUGAAUCACUGACGGCGCUAAUUACAGCCGCCUGCCUACUCUGGCCCUGACAUCAAGGCAGGGGCAGCAUCCCUCUCGCCCACAUCAGCUGGCUGGAACUGCCACCCCUCAGGCCCUCUUUUCCAGCAGCCUACCUGAGGACCUGAGGGGACCAGACCUGGGGGCAAGAACCUGUGGGUGUGUGGGUCUCCGACGCUCAGUGUGCAGAGCCCACACACCCUCCCUGGCCACUGCCUUGGCCUCCAAGAGUCUGUAAGGGGCCCUAAGGAUGCAGGUCACUGGGGUGGGGCAGAGGAGGGACUAGGGAGACUGUUCU